AUUGAACGCUGGCGGCAGGCCUAACACAUGCAAGUCGAACGAGUGGCGGACGGGUGAGUAAUGUCUGGGAAACUGCACGAUGGAGGGGGAUAACUACUGGAAACGGUAGCUAAUACCGCAUACCAUCGGAUGUGCCCAGAUGGGAUUAGCUAGUAGGUGGGGUAACGGCUCACCUAGGCGACGAUCCCUAGCUGGUCUGAGCGGAUGACCAGCCACACUGUGGCUGAGACACGGUCCAGACUCCUACGGGAGGCAGCAGUGGGGAAUAUUGCGAAAGUGGCGCAAGCCUGAUGCAGCCAUGCCGCGUGUAUGAAGAAGGCCUUCGGGUUGUAAAGUACUUUCAGCGGUGAGGCGUUACUCGCAGAAGAAGCACCGGCUAACUCCGUGCCAGCAGCCGCGGUAAUAC
rnacentral:rRNA from 1 species